rnacentral:lncRNA from 1 species
UGUUACAAGAAUGAAGUUCGGCCCCUUAACAGAUCUAAAGAUCAAUUUUUUACCGAUUCCCCCCCUUUUUUAUCUAUUUUUUAAUCGGUUUUAUACCGAAAGAUACCAAAAGCAAAAACCCCCCCUUUUCCUUUUGUUUGAUUCGACUCUUAUAGCCGAUUACACUACUGUUUUCUGUUCUUUGUUGCUGUUUCUUUUGCUUUUGUUGUUGUUUGCAGGACCUGAUGAAGUCAACGGAGACGAAAAGAUUCCAUUUUGGUGCAAGUCGCAGCUGGCGGUGGCAGAUCUCAGGCGUGGUACGCGCCGAAGACGCACAUGGGCAGCAGCGGCGCGAGGCAAGGGCAGGGAACCCUAGGGUUCCCUGUGCUGUUUAGUUUUUUGGGCCCCAAUGGGCCGUUUUAGAUUUUGGGCCUUGGGCUAUUGGGUAUUUGUUUGGUUUAAGGUUUGGGUAGUUAGGUUCUUGGGCCCUAGGAAAAUUUGAGCUUCUACAGCUGCCCCUCUUUGCUCGUUGUCGUGUAACGAGAACAGAGCAAAGACUAAGAAAGACCAAAUUUGCCUAGUCUUGCCGAGUCUUGACUUCUUUGAGUGUUUCUCUUUUCCAAGUAGCAUCCUUCCAGUCCACUGCGUCUUGUCGCUUCAAUCCACUCCAUUGCACUUCAGGGAGAUCUAACUUGUAGUUUCAAUCUUCUUUGCCGCAACUUCAGAGGGACGAUGUUUGUGGUUCCACUUCAAUGUUAGGGAGAUAAGACUUGUUGUGGUAGAUUUAAUCCGACCUACUGCAACUUCGGAGGUAUAGGAUUGACUUUUAUCCACUCUACUGCAACUUCGGGGAGAUAGGAUUUAUUUCUUUCGUCUGCUCCACUACUGCUUAGGGAGAUAAGACUUGAUGUGAUCUGCUCCACUGUAAUCUCAGGAAGAUAAGAUCUCUGGCUUCAAUCUACUCCACUGUAACCUCAGGGAGAUAAGUUCUGAAAUUCUUCGAUCUACUCCACUGUAACCUCAAGGAGAUAAGACCUGAUGCGAUCUACUCUACUGUAACUUCAGAGAGAUAAGAUCCUUUAUUUUAAUCCGCUCCACUGUAACUUCAGGGAGAUAGGAUAGUGUCUUCGAUCUGUUCUGCUGUAAUCUCAGGGAGAUAAGAUCUCUGGCUUCAAUCUGUUCCACUGUAACCUCAGGGAGAUAAGAUCUGAAAUUCUUCGGUCUACUCCACUGUAACCUCAGGGAGAUAAGACCUGAUGCGAUCUACUCUACUAUAACUUCAGAGAGAUAAGAUAGUGUCUUCGAUCUGCUCCGCUAUAAUCUCAGGGAGAUAAGAUCUCUGGCUUCAAGCUGCUCCACUGUAACCUCAGGGAGAUAAGAUCUUUUAUUUUAAUCCGCUCCACUGUAACCUCAGGGAGAUAAGAUCUGAAAUUCUUCGGUCUACUCCACUGUAACCUCAGGGAGAUAAGACUUGCAUAUUCAACCUGCCCCACUGUAACUUCAGGGAGAUAAGGUUUGUGGCUUCGAUCUGCUCCUCUGUAAUCUUAGGGAGAUAAGAUCUGAAAUUCUUCGGUCUACUCCACUGUAACCUCAGGGAGAUAAGACUUGCAUAUUCAAUCUGCCCCGCUGUAACUUCAGGGAGAUAAGGUUUGUGGCUUCGAUCUACUCCUCUGUAAUCUCAGGGAGAUAAGACCUGAAAUUCUUCGGUAUACUCCACUGUAACCUCAGGGAGAUAAGACUUGCAUAUUCAACCUGCCCCACUGUAACUUCAGGGAGAUAAGGUUUGUGGCUUCGAUCUGCUCCACUGUAACAUCAGGGAGAUAAGAUCUAAAAUUCUUCGGUCUACUCCACUGUAACCUCAAGGAGAUAAGACCUGAUGCGAUCUACUCUACUGUAACUUCAGAGAGAUAAGAUCCUUUAUUUUAAUUCGCUCCACUGUAACUUUAGGGAGAUAGGAUCUUUUAUUUUAAUCCGCUCCACUGUAAUCUCAGGGAGAUAAGAUCUGAAAUUCUUCGAUUUGCUUCGCUGUCGAUGUAGGAAGACAAGAUCUAUCAUAUUCACUGAUCUAUUCUCUGGGGAACAUGACAUGUAUAAUGAACCUAAUUAUGCCUAAUGAUUAGGAUGACAUAAUCAAAAUGAAUCAAAUGCUCCUAACUAGACAUGUGUGAAUGGUGUUUGCAUGAAUGCAGAAUUUUAUUUUUCCGAGAAUGAUCUCGCUUAGGUUGUCACUACUCGAAGUUUAUUAAGGCUUUGUGAUUGACGUGCUACAACGCCUUCUCGCUUGACUGGUUUUUUCUGAUGAAACAUUUAGCCAGGUUGCCCCCAUUGUAAACCUCAAAGUUCAAUCCACUGGGACGCCAAAAUUUGUACCAUCAUUCUCCCACUACAACCCAAUGGUAGAAAUAUGUGGCUUUUCCUCAAUCUUCUCCUAUCACAAUUCAAGGAUAUAGGACACGAAUCGUUCUAGUUCCUCACACAAUUCCCAAUGUGUCAUACUCAUGUGCAAAUGAAGGAUCUCUUCUCUGAGGUAACCUCUUCCUACUGCCUGAUGAUUAUUGUUUGCUUGUUCUUUCCAGCUUUGUCGUUAAGCCGUCAUCUUAUCAUUUUGUUCAAUCAAUGCAUUUGACAACGAAAUCUAAAGAGAAAGUCUAAAUUUAAACUCUUCAUUCUCAAAUUUCCAACCUUUACCUGGUGUAUUCUAAACAAUCGUCCUGUUUCAAGUUCCUGUGAUAUUUAGAAACUUUCCAGAGUAAUAUGCAAAACUUCCUUUGUGAAAGUUUUAUUAGUCCAUUAAUCAUUAUUCCAAUGCAACACAUUUGCAAAAAGGUCAUAACAAUGGAUAAGAAUAAAGUUGGUUCUUAGCAUAGCUCGAAAGAAUAAAAUAUCGAAAAUAGUAAAGAAGGAUGACAAAGAAAUUAAUUGGGAAUGUAUAUCUUGGAAAGGAAAAAAGUAUUCCAAGAACAACAAAUAAUAUGAGAAUUGGGUGCCUCAGAUAUCGCAGCUUGACUUCUCUGUACAAACUUUUUGAAGACUAUUUUGAGUUUGGCAAGUGUUUAGGAGAUCUACAGUGCUUUGUCGAUGCCCCAAGAUGUCGCUUAUCCUUUCCAAUUAAUUCAGGCAUCACCACAUGCCCCAAUAUGAUCAAAAUUUGAAUCGCUCUGAUCGUCUCAUGCCCCAUUCUGAACAAGUAUUUGAGCCGCCCUUUUCGGGUUUUCAACUCAAAUCCCCUUUGGCAUAAGGCGCCCUUUCCGGGUUUUCCCCUUAGCCUCUCUAUUUUUCAUUUUUCAUUUUUCAUUUUUCAUUUUUCAUUUUUCAUUUUUCAUUUUUCAUUUUUUUUUGGACUAAGAGUGCCCUUUGUGGGUUUUCACCUUGGUCCUUUCUUCUUCUUUAAACGACGUGUUGCUGUUUACACUACUAUUUUCUGUUCUCUGUUGCUGUUUCUUUUGCUUUUGUUGUUGUUUGCAGGACCUGAUGAAGUCAACGGAGACGAAAUGCUUCCAUUUUGGUGCAAGGCGCAGCUGGCGGUGGCAGACCUCGGGCGUGCUGCGCGCCGAAGACGCACAUGGGCAGCAGCGGCACGAGGCAAGGGCAGGGAACCCUAGGGUUCCCUGUGCUGUUUAGUUUUUUGGGCCCCAAUGGGCCGUUUUAAAUUUUGGGCCUUGGGCUAUUGGGUAUUUGUUUGGUUUAAGGUUUGGGUAGUUGGGUUCUUGGGCCCCAGGCAAAUUUGGGCUUCUACAAACGGUAACCACUAAAAUAAUAGGGUUCUAUUCACAAUCGUCUUAAAAGAGUAUUUAAUUUAAAAAAAACUAUAUAAUUAACAUAUUAAUUAUAAAUUAUCUUAUUUAAUGAAAAUAUUUUUAUACCAAUUUAAAAUCUAAAAUAAUAAUACAAAAAAAAAAACCUACUCAAUUUUAACUAAGGAUCUUUCAAGUUUAAGUUUUAUCAUGCACAUUUAUUACGUGUGAUUUUUAGUCUAAAUUUUUAUUCAAUUUUAAGUUCCAUCAAGGGCGGAGCCUGUCCAAAUUUAUUUUAAUUUAGGCCAGAUAUAUUUCGAUUAUCAUUAAUCCAUUUGUUUGUG